UGUUUCGGCUAGGGGGCCAUCCCGGCUUACCAACCCGAUGCAAACUGCGAAUACCGGAGAAUGUUAUCACGGGAGACACACGGCGGGUGCUAACGUCCGUCGUGAAGAGGGAAACAACCCAGACCGCCAGCUAAGGUCCCAAAGUCAUGGUUAAGUGGGAAACGAUGUGGGAAGGCCCAGACAGCCAGGAUGUUGGCUUAGAAGCAGCCAUCAUUUAAAGAAAGCGUAAUAGCUCACUGGUCGAGUCGGCCUGCGCGGAAGAUGUAACGGGGCUAAACCAUGCACCGAAGCUGCGGCAGCGACGCUGAUGCGUUGUUGGGUAGGGGAGCGUUCUGUAAGCCUGUGAAGGUGGCCUGUGAGGGUUGCUGGAGGUAUCAGAAGUGCGAAUGCUGACAUAAGUAACGAUAAAGCGGGUGAAAAGCCCGCUCGCCGGAAGACCAAGGGUUCCUGUCCAACGUUAAUCGGGGCAGGGUGAGUCGACCCCUAAGGCGAGGCCGAAAGGCGUAGUCGAUGGGAAACAGGUUAAUAUUCCUGUACUUGGUGUUACUGCGAAGGGGGGACGGAGAAGGCUAUGUUGGCCGGGCGACGGUUGUCCCGGUUUAAGCGUGUAGGCUGGUUUUCCAGGCAAAUCCGGAAAAUCAAGGCUGAGGCGUGACGACGAGGCACUACGGUGCUGAAGCAACAAAUGCCCUGCUUCCAGGAAAAGCCUCUAAGCAUCAGGUAACAUCAAAUCGUACCCCAAACCGACACAGGUGGUCAGGUAGAGAAUACCAAGGCGCUUGAGAGAACUCGGGUGAAGGAACUAGGCAAAAUGGUGCCGUAACUUCGGGAGAAGGCACGCUGACACGUAGGUGAAGUGAUUUACUCAUGGAGCUGAAGUCAGUCGAAGAUACCAGCUGGCUGCAACUGUUUAUUAAAAACACAGCACUGUGCAAACACGAAAGUGGACGUAUACGGUGUGACGCCUGCCCGGUGCCGGAAGGUUAAUUGAUGGGGUCAGCGCAAGCGAAGCUCCUGAUCGAAGCCCCGGUAAACGGCGGCCGUAACUAUAACGGUCCUAAGGUAGCGAAAUUCCUUGUCGGGUAAGUUCCGACCUGCACGAAUGGCGUAAUGAUGGCCAGGCUGUCUCCACCCGAGACUCAGUGAAAUUGAACUCGCUGUGAAGAUGCAGUGUACCCGCGGCAAGACGGAAAGACCCCGUGAACCUUUACUAUAGCUUGACACUGAACAUUGAGCCUUGAUGUGUAGGAUAGGUGGGAGGCUUUGAAGUGUGGACGCCAGUCUGCAUGGAGCCGACCUUGAAAUACCACCCUUUAAUGUUUGAUGUUCUAACGUGGACCCGUAAUCCGGGUUGCGGACAGUGUCUGGUGGGUAGUUUGACUGGGGCGGUCUCCUCCUAAAGAGUAACGGAGGAGCACGAAGGUUGGCUAAUCCUGGUCGGACAUCAGGAGGUUAGUGCAAUGGCAUAAGCCAGCUUGACUGCGAGCGUGACGGCGCGAGCAGGUGCGAAAGCAGGUCAUAGUGAUCCGGUGGUUCUGAAUGGAAGGGCCAUCGCUCAACGGAUAAAAGGUACUCCGGGGAUAACAGGCUGAUACCGCCCAAGAGUUCAUAUCGACGGCGGUGUUUGGCACCUCGAUGUCGGCUCAUCACAUCCUGGGGCUGAAGUAGGUCCCAAGGGUAUGGCUGUUCGCCAUUUAAAGUGGUACGCGAGCUGGGUUUAGAACGUCGUGAGACAGUUCGGUCCCUAUCUGCCGUGGGCGCUGGAGAACUGAGGGGGGCUGCUCCUAGUACGAGAGGACCGGAGUGGACGCAUCACUGGUGUUCGGGUUGUCAUGCCAAUGGCACUGCCCGGUAGCUAAAUGCGGAAGAGAUAAGUGCUGAAAGCAUCUAAGCACGAAACUUGCCCCGA
rnacentral:rRNA from 1 species